rnacentral:rRNA from 1 species
UACGUAGGGGGCUAGCGUUGUCCGGAAUCAUUGGGCGUAAAGAGCGUGUAGGCGGCCCGGUAAGUCCGCUGUGAAAGUCGGGGGCUCAACCCUCGAAUGCCGGUGGAAACUGUCGGGCUAGAGUGCGGAAGAGGCGAGUGGAAUUCCUGGUGUAGCGGUGAAAUGCGCAGAUAUCAGGAGGAACACCAAUUGCGAAGGCAGCUCGCUGGGACGUUACUGACGCUGAGACGCGAAAGCGUGGGGAGCAAACAGG